rnacentral:rRNA from 1 species
GAUGAACGCUGGCGGCGUGCCUAAUACAUGCAAGUCGAGCGAACGGACGAGAAGCUUGCUUCUCUGAUGUUAGCGGCGGACGGGUGAGUAACACGUGGAUAACCUACCUAUAAGACUGGGAUAACUUCGGGAAACCGGAGCUAAUACCGGAUGAUAUUUUGAACCGCAUGGUUCAAAAGUGAAAGACGGUCUUGCUGUCACUUAUAGAUGGAUCCGCGCUGCAUUAGCUAGUUGGUAAGGUAACGGCUUACCAAGGCAACGAUGCAUAGCCGACCUGAGAGGGUGAUCGGCCACACUGGAACUGAGACACGGUCCAGACUCCUACGGGAGGCAGCAGUAGGGAAUCUUCCGCAAUGGGCGAAAGCCUGACGGAGCAACGCCGCGUGAGUGAUGAAGGUCUUCGGAUCGUAAAACUCUGUUAUUAGGGAAGAACAUAUGUGUAAGUAACUGUGCACAUCUUGACGGUACCUAAUCAGAAAGCCACGGCUAACUACGUGCCAGCAGCCGCGGUAAUACGUAGGUGGCAAGCGUUAUCCGGAAUUAUUGGGCGUAAAGCGCGCGUAGGCGGUUUUUUAAGUCUGAUGUGAAAGCCCACGGCUCAACCGUGGAGGGUCAUUGGAAACUGGAAAACUUGAGUGCAGAAGAGGAAAGUGGAAUUCCAUGUGUAGCGGUGAAAUGCGCAGAGAUAUGGAGGAACACCAGUGGCGAAGGCGACUUUCUGGUCUGUAACUGACGCUGAUGUGCGAAAGCGUGGGGAUCAAACAGGAUUAGAUACCCUGGUAGUCCACGCCGUAAACGAUGAGUGCUAAGUGUUAGGGGGUUUCCGCCCCUUAGUGCUGCAGCUAACGCAUUAAGCACUCCGCCUGGGGAGUACGACCGCAAGGUUGAAACUCAAAGGAAUUGACGGGGACCCGCACAAGCGGUGGAGCAUGUGGUUUAAUUCGAAGCAACGCGAAGAACCUUACCAAAUCUUGACAUCCUUUGACAACUCUAGAGAUAGAGCCUUCCCCUUCGGGGGACAAAGUGACAGGUGGUGCAUGGUUGUCGUCAGCUCGUGUCGUGAGAUGUUGGGUUAAGUCCCGCAACGAGCGCAACCCUUAAGCUUAGUUGCCAUCAUUAAGUUGGGCACUCUAAGUUGACUGCCGGUGACAAACCGGAGGAAGGUGGGGAUGACGUCAAAUCAUCAUGCCCCUUAUGAUUUGGGCUACACAUGUGCUACAAUGGACAAUACAAAGGGCAGCGAAACCGCGAGGUCAAGCAAAUCCCAUAAAGUUGUUCUCAGUUCGGAUUGUAGUCUGCAACUCGACUACAUGAAGCUGGAAUCGCUAGUAAUCGUAGAUCAGCAUGCUACGGUGAAUACGUUCCCGGGUCU